rnacentral:lncRNA from 1 species
GGCAAUAAUUUCUCACCAAGCGACCUACUUACUAUCAAUUCUGUAUCAUGAUGUGUCUUCAUAUAUUUAUAUAGAGAUGUAAUAAUAGAGGUUUGAUUUUUUUUUUUUUUUGACUUAGUCCAAUUCUUUGAGAAAUUUGUAUCAUUCUUAUAUUAUAUAUAUGCAUAUUAAAAAUUAAGAUUAUUAAUUGAUGUUCUGAUGAGACAUUGCAAAUUACACUUGCACAGCUAUAUGCAUAAGGGUGAAUUAAAUUUUUAUACUCAGUUGACUGCAAAAUUAA